rnacentral:rRNA from 1 species
GACGAACGCUGGCGGUGUGCUUAACACAUGCAAGUCGAACGGUAAGGCCCUUUCGGGGGUACACGAGUGGCGAACGGGUGAGUAACACGUGAGUAACCUGCCCUCAUCUCUGGGAUAACAGUCGGAAACGGAUGCUAAUAUUGGCUAUGAGCUUGCACGGCAUCUUGUGGGUUGGAAAGAGUUUUUUGGUUGGGGAUGGCCUCGCGGCCUAUCAGCUUGUUGGUGAGGUAGUGGCUCACCAAGGCUUCGACGGGUAGCCGGCCUGAGAGGGCGACCGGCAACAUUGGGACUGGGAAUCGGCCCAAACUCCUACGGGGGGCAGCAGUGGGGAAUAUUGCACAAUGGACGGAAGUCUGAUGCAGCAACGCCGCGUGCGGGAUGACGGCCUUCGGGUUGUAAACCGCUUUCAAUUGUGACGAAGCUUUUUGUGACGGUAGCAGUAGAAGAAGCACCGGCUAACUACGUG